AAAUGUUAGGGGAUUUUCAAAAAGGUGAUUUCCAGGCUUGGAAAAAAAAUCAUGGAAAUGUAAAGCUUUUUGUGGUUUAAACUGUUUGGGAACGUAUGUUACAUAGCUGGUUUCUGCUUGGUUGACCUGCCACCGUCAAAAAAACAGUUUAACUAGCUGCUGAUCCAAGAAGGUCCAUAAGUUUUGACGGUGUGGGGCUUCCAGCACCAUCUUGUGACUCCAACACGAUGACAUUGGGGUCGCUCACUGUUACCGCACCAUACGAAGAAUCAAACGGCACGUCUUCUUCCUUCAUUCUCUUGUAGGAUAUGUUUGUAUCAUCUUCAGCAUCCUCCAUGAGGUCCUGUUUAUGCAAUACCUCUUUCCUGUACAUGCGGUAAGUCAGAAUGAAGAUGCCAGCCUCUGCUGCCUGGAAGAGCGCGUACAGCAGAGGAAACAUGUACAUGCCUCCCAUCAGCUGUGGAGGGAACACCAGCUUCAGGAUGGCCGUGCAGAGCUGUACGUUCUGACAGCCCGUCUCUAAAGACACAGUCCUCCGACUGUUGGGGGGGAGAUCAAAGAGUGUUGCAAGGCCGUAUCCUGCAGCAAAGCCAGCCAUGGGCAUGAGUACGGCCACCAGGUAUACGGAGGCAGGGAUGGUGGCCAGUAGCUCCGGGCCCAGCAUAGUUCCAGUCAUGAUGAAGAGCAUCAGCAGAGUGACCAGGAUAGACCACAGAGACACCUGGAGCAGAAACACUGCCCUGCCCUCCCCUCCCUUCCCGCAUCUCUCUAUCUCACAGUCGCACUGUGCCCUUACCAGGCUGUUCUUAGAUAAGCUCAACUGAAAGGAGGAACCCAUGCGCGCAUGUGACGCCACCUCGCCCUGGGCACUUCAGUCUCCUUUUAAUGGCCAGAGAUGUUGGACAUGAAGGCGACAGAAGCAACCCAUCACAACCAGUGAUAUUUCAGAGAUGACAGCAGAAAUCUAAAUCAUUUUUUCUUUGUGAUGAAUCUCCACUUAAUGACUCCUCUAAAUCAAAUCAACUUAUUCUGAUAUUUUAGGUUCCUUUUCCUAGUAGUAAACAUGCACUGCUUUGAAUGAGGUUUAGACAGAUAAGGUUUUUGCAUUGUCACCUUG